rnacentral:rRNA from 1 species
UACGAAGGGGGCUAGCGUUGCUCGGAAUUACUGGGCGUAAAGCGUAUGCAGGCGGACUUUUAAGUCGGGGGGUGAAAUCCCGAGGCUCAACCUCGGAACUGCCUUCGAUACUGGAAGUCUUGAGUCCGGGAGAGGUGAGUGGAACUCCGAGUGUAGAGGUGAAAUUCGUAGAUAUUCGGAGAACACCAGUGGCGAAGGCGGCUCACUGGCCCGGUACUGACGCUGAGAUACGAAAGCGUGGGAAGCGAACAGG